GAUGAACGCUGGCGGCGUGCCUAAUACAUGCAAGUCGAACGAAACUUCUUUAUCACCGAGUGCUUGCACUCACCGAUAAAGAGUUGAGUGGCGAACGGGUGAGGAACACGUGGGCAACCUGCCCAAAAGAGGGGGAGAACACUUGGAAACAGGUGCUAAUACCGCAUAACCAUAGUUACCGCAUGGUAACUAUGUAAAAGGUGGCUAUACCGCCGCUUUUGGAUGGGCUCGCGGCGCAUUAGCUAGUUGGUGGGGUAAAGGCUUACCAAGGCAAUGACGGGUAGCAGGCCAGAGAGGGUGACCGGCCACAUGGGGACUGGGAUACGGCCCAGACGCCGACGGGAGGCAGCAGGUGGGAAUAUUGCACAAUGGGCGGAAGCGGGAUGCAGCAACGCCGCGUGCGGGAUGACGGCCUUCGGGUUGUAAACCGCGUUCGCCUGGGACGAAGCGUGAGUGACGGUAAUGGGUAAAGAAGCACCGGCUAACUACGUG
rnacentral:rRNA from 1 species